GACGAACGCUGGCGGCGUGUCUAACACAUGCAAGUCGAACGAGAGAGAGGAAGCUUGCUCCCUUAAUCGAGUGGCGAACGGGUGAGUAACGCGUGAGGAACCUGCCUCAAAGAGGGGGACAACAGUUGGAAACGACUGCUAAUACCGCAUAAGCCCACAGCUCGGCAUCGAGCAGAGGGAAAAGGAGUGAUCCGCUUUGAGAUGGCCUCGCGUCCGAUUAGCUGGUUGGUGAGGUAACGGCCCACCAAGGCGACGAUCGGUAGCCGGACUGAGAGGUUGAACGGCCACAUUGGGACUGAGACACGGCCCAGACUCCUACGGGAGGCAGCAGUGGGGAAUAUUGCACAAUGGGGGAAACCCUGAUGCAGCGACGCCGCGUGGAGGAAGAAGGUCUUCGGAUUGUAAACUCCUGUUGUUGAGGAAGAUAAUGACGGUACUCAACAAGGAAGUGACGGCUAACUACGUGCCAGCAGCCGCGGUAAAACGUAGGUCACAAGCGUUGUCCGGAAUUACUGGGUGUAAAGGGAGCGCAGGCGGGAAAGCAAGUUGGAAGUGAAAUCCAUGGGCUCAACCCAUGAACUGCUUUCAAAACUGUUUUUCUUGAGUAGUGCAGAGGUAGGCGGAAUUCCCGGUGUAGCGGUGGAAUGCGUAGAUAUCGGGAGGAACACCAGUGGCGAAGGCGGCCUACUGGGCACCAACUGACGCUGAGGCUCGAAAGUGUGGGUAGCANACAGG
rnacentral:rRNA from 1 species